UGCAAACUGCGAAUACCGGAGAAUGUUAUCACGGGAGACACACGGCGGGUGCUAACGUCCGUCGUGAAGAGGGAAACAACCCAGACCGCCAGCUAAGGUCCCAAAGUCAUGGUUAAGUGGGAAACGAUGUGGGAAGGCCCAGACAGCCAGGAUGUUGGCUUAGAAGCAGCCAUCAUUUAAAGAAAGCGUAAUAGCUCACUGGUCGAGUCGGCCUGCGCGGAAGAUGUAACGGGGCUAAACCAUGCACCGAAGCUGCGGCAGCGACGCUGAUGCGUUGUUGGGUAGGGGAGCGUUCUGUAAGCCUGCGAAGGUGUGCUGUGAGGCAUGCUGGAGGUAUCAGAAGUGCGAAUGCUGACAUAAGUAACGAUAAAGCGGGUGAAAAGCCCGCUCGCCGGAAGACCAAGGGUUCCUGUCCAACGUUAAUCGGGGCAGGGUGAGUCGACCCCUAAGGCGAGGCCGAAAGGCGUAGUCGAUGGGAAACAGGUUAAUAUUCCUGUACUUGGUGUUACUGCGAAGGGG
rnacentral:rRNA from 1 species